rnacentral:sRNA from 1 species
UGUUGCAGUAAACCCGGCUCGCGCCGGGCCGUUUGGCGAAGUACCACAUUGUCCCUCACGUCGUCCCGCUCGGUCGGUCGGGCUCUUCCUCCUCCCUUCUUCGGACGGGGCGAGCGAGGGGUCCGGCCCCCCCCGGCGGGCGCGACCACGAUCUCACCGAUCGCGCAAUGCAUCGACGCUCUGACCCACGACUGAGUCCCUAGAACGAUUCGAGGAGUUGGCUUUGAUGACGGACGGGCGGGGACCCCAAAACCCGCCCGCCCGCCGUGAUGGAGACCCCCCGAGUAAGUUGGAUCUAUAACUUAGAAACAACUCUCAGCAACGGAUAUCUUGGCUCUUGCAACGAUGAAGAACGCAGCGAAAUGCGAUACGUAGUGUGAAUUGCAGAAUUCCGCGAAUCAUCGAGUCUUUGAACGCAAGUUGCGCCCGAGGCUUGUCCGAGGGCAUUUCCGCUAGAGCGUCACCGCGCUACCCCCACCGACCCCCUAACCCCGAGUCGAGUGGAAGUGGCCGUCCCGUCGAUCGGGUCGGCUGAAAUGGAUGGAAUUUGGCCGUCGUGGCGACGGAGCCCCGCGAUCAGGUGAUCCGAGCGAGAGCCCGGAACUCAAACGUGCGAGGCCCCCGUCCGCCCAGUCGGCGUCCCGGAAUGAGAAAAGCAGGUCUGCGCGUUCCGGCCGGCCCCCCUCGGGGGUCGGUCGAUCGAACGCGCAUCAGAGUCACGCACCGGA